AACGAACGCUGGCGGCAUGCCUAACACAUGCAAGUCGAACGAUGCUUUCGGGCCUAGUGGCGCACGGGUGCGUAACGCGUGGGAAUCUGCCCUGGGGUUCGGGAUAACAGCGGGAAACUGCUGCUAAUACCGGAUGAUAUCGCGAGAUCAAAGAUUUAUCGCCCUGGGAUGAGCCCGCGACGGAUUAGGUAGUUGGUGGGGUAAGAGCCUACCAAGCCGACGAUCCGUAGCUGGUCUGAGAGGAUGAUAAUCCACACUGGGACUGAGACACGGCCCAGACUCCUACGGGAGGCAGCAGUGGGGAAUAUUGGACAAUGGGCGCAAGCCUGAUCCAGCAAUGCCGCGUGAGUGAUGAAGGCCUUAGGGUUGUAAAGCUCUUUUACCCGGGAUGAUAAUGACAGUACCGGGAGAAUAAGCCCCGGCUAACUCCGUG
rnacentral:rRNA from 1 species